rnacentral:rRNA from 1 species
UACGUAGGGACCGAGCGUUGUCCGGAAUCAUUGGGCGUAAAGAGCGUGUAGGCGGCCCCUUAAGUCCUGCGUGAAAUCCUGCGGCUCAACCGCAGACGGUCGUGGGAAACUGGAGGGCUAGAGUGCGGGAGAGGAGAGUGGAAUUCCCGGUGUAGCGGUGAAAUGCGUAGAGAUCGGAAAGAACACCAACGGCGAAAGCACUCUGCUGGGCCGACACUGACACUGAGAGACGAAAGCUAGGGGAGCGAAUGGG